CCUCUGUCCUCCUCCUUUGCACCAGGGAGAGAGAGAGAGAGAGAGACCCCGCUGGAAGUAAGGAGGAGGGGGUUGGGAGGAGGAGGAGAGAAAGGAAGACAAGAUGAGGAGGGGAAGAAGUUUUGCAAAGGAGUGGAAACGCAGAGACUGGCCAGCAAAGUCUCAAGGCGGGGGACAUGCCCACUGUUGAAUUCACACCACUUGGCUCAGUGCUAUGGAACACUAGGAUUUGUAGUUGGUUGAGGUCCCAGCACUCAGUCUUUGGCAAUGAAAGCUGUGAACCUUGUAAAGCUACAACUCUCAAGAUUCCAUAGUAUUGAGCCAUAUCACUUAAAGUGGCGCCAAGCUGCAGUAAUGCAAUGGUGAAGGGGACAAGGAGCCUGAGUUCAUUUGGAUAAUGGAGAAAGUUGUUCAUUUGCCAUUGGGAGGGAUGAUGGUCAGAGAAAUUGGCAUAUCCUUGCUCUUUGGAGGAAACCCAAAAUACCUUAUCCUCAGAGAAGGGUCUGUUGAAACUUGAGAAGAAGCAGGAAAGAUGAAUCAGUCCCCAAGGAUCUCAGAAGGAAGGGCAGUAUAGAGACUGACCAGAUAAGAAAUGGUGUGGGAAUGUGAAGAAAUCUAACUCUCUAUUGACUCCAUACAAAGGAGAAAUUAUCCAUGAAAUCUGGGGAAUUCAAGCAGAGAUCCAGUAACUCUACCAAGGUGGAACAUUCCAGCAUGAGUCUUUCUAACUUCAGAGUAAGACCAUCGUGUUUCAUCCAUGCUCUGAAAGCUUCCCUUUACUGUGGUAAUAUGUCAACAGAAUGGUUUCUACACUACAUUACAAUGCUACAACAUCUUGAUUUUUUUUAGAAUUACAGUGUAUAGUACCAUGUGUUUUGAAAAUAAAGUUUCACAUCUAGA